AUAGUUGGGGCGCCUGGGUGGCGCAGUCGGUUAAGCGUCCGACUUCAGCCAGGUCACGAUCUCGCGGUCCGUGAGUUCGAGCCCCGCGUCAGGCUCUGGGCUGAUGGCUCAGAGCCUGGAGCCUGUUUCCGAUUCUGUGUCUCCCUCUCUCUCUGCCCCUCCCCCGUUCAUGCUCUGUCUCUCUCUGUCCCAAAAAUAAAUAAACGUUGAAAAAAAAAAUUAAAAAAAAUAAAAAUAGUUGUUAAGAACAAGUAAAUUAAAAAUGUAAAAAAGAUAAAAUAAUGAACAUAUGUUUAUCUAUUUUUGUCUUAUAAAGAAACUAAAGACAAAUUUGAGUCUGUUAGUAAAUGUGUUUUAUGCUUUAUUGAAAGAUUGUACUGGGGCACGUGGGUGGCAUCCAACUCUUGAUUUCAGAUCAGGUCAUGGUCUCAUGGUUGGGUUCAUGGGAUUGAGCCUUGUGUCGGGCCCUGCAUUGAUAGUCUGGAGCCUGCUUGGCAUUCCCUCUCUCCCUCUGUCUUUCGCCCUCCCCAGCUCACAUGCACACGUGCGCUCUCUCUCUCUCUCUCUCUCUCUCUCUCUCUCUCUAAAUAAUCAACAUGAAAAAAAAAGAUGGUACUAUAAAAACGUUUCUAAAAAUUAUGAAAUGUAUUAAUAAGUUUGUCAAUCUAAAGAAUUCUGCUCACAGUUCACAGUUGCUUAUUACAUAGUUUUCACUAGCUAUUAAGGUUGCUAAGCAUUAAGAAUUCUAAUAAAUGUAAUUAAGACUACUGGAAAAAUAAGGGAAACAACUCUAUGCAAGAAAAGUAAGAUACAUGUUUUUGGUAAGAAAAAGAAUGAGGAAUAAAAAUAUAUAUUUGUUGAGGGGGAAAAAAUAGUUUUGUCCUAAAGUAAGGCUGGCUAUUUUAAAGAGGGAAAAUUUAGGACAAAAUCUAAAUGUAUUUAAAAAAAUUGUUGUAGGUUUAUGGAGAAAGAAUCUUUGGAAAGAAAUGUUAUGUGUGCUCAGUACUGGCUAAGAUUAGGAUAAUUUAAGGGAACCUGGGUGGCUAGUCGGUUAAGCAUCUCUUUUUUUUUUUUAAUCUUUAUUUAUUUUUGAGAGACAGGGCAUGAGCGGGCGAGGGGCAGAUAGAGAGGGAGACACAGAAUCUGAAGCAGGCUCCAGGCUCUGAGCUGUCACCACAGAGCCCAAUGUGGGGCUAAAACCCAUGAAUGACAAAUUCACGACCUGAGUUAAAGUCUGACACUUAAACGACUGUACCACCCAGGCACCCCAAGCAUCUGACUCUUGAUUUUAGCUCAGGAUUCUGUCUGCCCUCCCCAACUACCUCCCCGCUCCAAAAUAAGUAAAUAAACUUAAAAAAAAGAUUAGGAUAAUUUAACUGAGUAAAUGAGUUUUAACAUCAAAAGUACACUGGUACAAAGUUUUGUUUUCUCUUUGUUAUAUGUACAGAGUUUUCUUGAACCACUGGUCUGCUCUUCAUAAAAAAUUGUAAACAAAAGUUUUUCUUUACUAUUUAAGUAUUUUUAUUUUUAGGCAGACAGUGAUUCUACAUUUGCCAAAAUAAUUCCUAUAUUUAUUAGCUCUUUGAUUACUUAGUUUUUUUCUUUAAAUCCUUUCAUAUAUAUAUUAUUUAUUUAUUUAAUGUUUUAUUUAUUUUUGAGAGAUAGAAACAGAGUGUGAGCAGGGGAAGGGCAGAAAGAGAGGGAGACACAGAAUCUGAAGCAGGCUCCAGCCUCCGAGCUGUCAGCACAGAGCCCGACGCAGGACUUGAACUCACGGAGCUGUGAGACCAUGAUCUGAGCCGAAGUUGGAUGCUCAACUGACUGAGCCACCCAGGUGCUCCUGCUCUUUGAUUACUUAAGAACAUUAGCCUUAAUAUUAAAGGAACUAAAUUUUGCUCACAACUCUGUGACCUUUGUCUUUGAAAUCUUUCUUUGUCACUUUGGUUAAAUAGAUAAUUAAAUAUUGUUUCAUAAUGAUCCGUAAUCCCAUUUAAUCAAAUGUUCAAACCUUUUGAUAUUUUUUUAUAUAUACUUCCCAAAAUCAAAUUCUAACAUGGAGUCUAUUAACCACAAUCUAGCUGAAACUUUCCAGCAAGCCCCUGGAACAUUCCAAAAAAAAAUUUUUAUGAGAAAUUAAACUAAUGAGACUUAUUUGGUUUGUUAAAUUACAUGGAAAAUAUUGUCAAAUAUGUGAUAUUAAACUCUCUUUUAUAAUAUUCAUAUAGAUAUGUUAUUAAAAUAAGUUCCAAAAAAUUAUAUGAAACAUCUAGAAAUCUGAUGUCCUGCUUGUGUUAUUAUCUUGAAGUGCUGUAUGUCACAAAAAUAACCAAAUUUCCUUGUCAACUGCAUCGUAAUGAACUCUAAUGAGAUCUUUAGCCAUGGCCAUUUUUAAGUCUUCUAUCAUUUACAGACAGUUAUACUUUCACUAAGAUGCCUUUGUAAGUUUCCUGCAAAUGUGCUUCAUCUUCAGUGAGACUCAUGAAAAAGCAAAACAAAACCUCUGAAUACAGGUUUCUGAUAAUCUUAGAUCAUAAAACUGAACUAGGUAAAAAUUUCCAGAACUAGUAGAAAAACCGGAUUCAAUCAGAACAAGAAUUAAUAACAUGGGGUGGGGGAGGGGCAAAUAAAUUGAGGCAGAUAAUCUUACUUUUUAUGACUUCUUAUUUGAAACAUUGCUGACAUUUUUUAAAGUCUUUUUGUUUUUUCCAGAUUUAAGAAAAAUGUUCAUCUUAAGCUAACUGAUUUACAGCAAUUAGAUAAAAUAUACCUUUGUGGACAAAUGGAAGCAUUUAUCUUUUCUCUCUACCUGAACCCUCCAGAAUUCAGAAACUCUCAUUUUCUGAAGCCCCGGUCAGCGGAGGGGCUCCAGCAGCAAUAGUCAGAUUCCCCAGACUGGAGAAGGGCCUCUGCAUUAGCACCCCUGACAACACCAAAAGCUGCAUGUCUUGGUUAGAUAGCUCUGAUUAGGAUUCUCACUGGAAUACUCCGCCGUUAGUGUGCAUGUGGUAUCCAGGGACCUAAGAGUCUAUCCACCAUGAGCAUUUGUAUGUUACAGUGAAUGCCAAAUUGGGAGAAGAAUCAAAACUAUCUGUUGCUGAUGAAGAAGAAGACAGUGAUGAGGACACUGAACCUAUUGCUGAAUCUAGAUUUGUGCCUCAUGAUAAACCGGGUUGGAGGCAGCGUUCACUGCAAUGUGUGAAUGCCAGGCUUCGUGUCCAGAUCCUGAGGAUGAAGAUUCAGAUGAUUAUGAGGAAGAAUAUAAUGUAGAAGCACAUGAGCAAGGGCAGGGGACAUCCCUACAUUUUAUAUCUAUGAAGGAGGAUUAUCCCAGGAGCACCCGGUGGCUCAGUCAGUUGGGCGUCCGACUUCGGUUCAGGUUAUGAUCUCACAGUUUGUGAGUUCGAGCCCCAAGUCGGGCUCUGUGCUGACAGUUCAGAGCCUGGAGCCUGCUUUGGAUUCUGUGUCUCUCCCUCUCUCUGCUCCUGCUCAUGCUCUGUCUCUCUCUGUCUCUCAAUAAUAAAUAAAUAUGUGUUUAAAAAAAAAAAGAUUAUCCCAUAUAACAGCAGAAGGCCAAGCUACAUUGGAGGGAUUAGAAGGAAGUCUUUCUCAGUCUGUGCAGCCCAUAUAACAUGGCUGGAGCAUGGACAGAAGAUUCAAUAAGAGAUUAUAAAGAUGGGAUGGAGGUAGAUACUACACCAACAGUUGUUGGCCUGUUUGGAGAUGCAAAUACUCAUCACUGAAAAUGAUUUAUGCUGCUUUGGAAUUGUCAUAAAUAUAGAAGAAAACUUGGUGCCUCUUCCGCUGUGGAGUGGAUGUUGAUGAAAGUCUUUUUCCUUCUCUAAAACUUACCUGAACCCGUCCUUUUUUUUUUUUUUUUGAAACAGACCAUACUGAGACAAGUUGUCACCAGCAGAAGAAACUAUGAUCUUUAUUUUAAAAGGUGCAUUAAUUUAACCAAGAGGGUAUUUGUAGAUUUCCAUUUACCACCCCCCCCCCCAAACUUUCUGUAUAUGGGGACCCUCUGUUGAGGCCUGCAGUUCCUGCCUUCACUAUAAGCUUGCAGGUGGAUGUGAUGACAGCACGCAGGUGCUUGAAGGUACAGGAACACUGGAGGAAAAGGGGAGGGGCUGAGUCUAAAUUAAUUCUACCCCUUGACGGGCUAAAAAUACCUAAGACACCCUUUAAAAAGAAAGAGAUCUCCGAGAAAUCCUGGCAUUUGCUCAUUCUCCACAGGGGCAAGUGUCUUUUUACUAACUUGGGACCAAGAUUAAUUCACUCACAUAUCUUUAGGGAGCCUGUUGGGAAACAUCCUAGCCACACAUAUAACUACUAACACAAGUACUUCUGACUAGUUUUACUCCUUCCACCAUGUUUCACCAAUCUGUUCCUUUAUAACCUCUUGGGUUAUAUCCUUGAAUUUCUAAUGUCUUAGGUCAGUUUCUGUAACAGAACAAGUGAAAUCGAGAUGAAGUCCUCAAAGUACUUCAGAUGAUAACUGUUUUUUAUCUUUGUAAUCAUUUAACAAAAAAAAAUUUAGGUUUUCUCCCCCCAAAAAAAAAAUCUAAAUUGGGGAUCUUGUUCAGAAUAAGAGUUAUUACCAGAGAUACAUGUUAUCUGAGUGAUCCAUCUGUGUGGCAAGGCAAACAUCUAAUUUCCAAACCUUUGUUCUUCUUAUUGGCCUGUGAAUUGCCCUCUGCACUUUUGAAUCCCUAGGUCCCUCUCCCAUUCCUUUGCUUAGGGUGGCAUGUACCUCAUUUUACCUUUCUGUCUUUGAAACUCUCAUGUGUGUAGGGUUCCUGUACAUACAAAAUUAAGUUAGAUUUUCUCCAGUUAAUAUGUCUUCUGUCAAUUUCAUUCUUAAACCAGCCAGAAGAACCUUCAAAGGGUGAAGGAAAAAUUUUUCUUGUCAACUGUGUUGGUAAAGGGAGCUCUCUUGCUCAACUACAGACCACAACAGUUAAAACCAGAAAUAGACAAGACCACUUAACUCAUGCUCUAACUGAAACCCAUUGUGUUUAUUUCUCACCACACUUUCUUGAGGCAUUGAAGACGUUUUCCAACCACCACACCAGAAAAGCCCUGAUAGCAAUGGAAUGCCUAGAAGACUAUAUCCAUAAUAAUGGACUGAACACAUACUGAGCCCCACCCAUGAUCACUGAACUCUCUGCCUGACCUCUUGCCUGUCCCCCCACCCCAACCUCUUCUUAUAAUACUCUAGGUGUCCCUCUUGCCCGUAGAGAGGUCAGUUGUUAAGGCUUGAGCCUGUCACAGCUGAUGACACCGAAAAUAAAUUUCUUCCUUUCUCUUUUCCAAACCCUUGUCUCUUGAGUUAGUGGCUGCUCUUGUGAUGAGUGUAUCCAAGUUUUCUGGGCAGCAGUGUUGGCAAACCCAGCAGGGAGCUAUGCUUUCGAUUUGCCCAGCCUUCUGGGGAGUCCCCAGUGGAGCAGUUGGCCCCAGUAGUGUGCUGGGCUUCUCGAGCUUUCCUGAGUUAGAAGCUGUGAUAGCAAAGGGACAGUAGACAUAGCUAUGGUGACAAUGCAGCCAUGGGGCUGUUUUCUCACUAAACAUCGUUUGCCCAUACUAACCCCACAUUUUGAAAGUGUCCGUCUUCCAAACAAAUUUCGUUUAUCAUGUCAUAAACUAUUUACAUUUCCAUGUAUUUCAGUUAAAGAAUGCUAAUGAGAUCUUCUGAUCCGCAGAAAUGUCACUUGGGUCAUAGAUUGUUUCAUUUGAAGGCAAAGACUUUUUUUUUUUUUUUUUUAGUUAAUGAGUACAACCUUAUCAUAAAAGUACAAUUUCUGGAGGCACCUGGGUGGCUCAGUUGGUUAAGCGUCUGACUCUUGAUUUUGGCUUAGGUCAUGAUCUUCGGGUCUGUGGGUUCAAGCUCUGCAUCGGGCUCUGGGCUGACAUCUCAGAGCCUGCUUGGGUUUCUCUGUCUCUGUCUCUGUCUCUGUCUCUCUCUCUCUCUGUGUCUUUCUCAAAAUAAACUAAAAAAAAUUUUUUUAAGUACAAAUUCUGUAGGAAAUACUGAAAAUGGAUGAAAGGCCUUUCUUAGUGCCCUGGAGGACAUGUAAGAAUCCUAGGAUAGCAGGUGGGUAAACUUUGAUCCAGGAUUUGAAAUAAAUAGGAAAUCGAUUUAUUUGGAAAUGAAAAGAGAGAAGAGAUUCUACUCAAACUAUACUUGUUAAAUGACUGAAGAGUGAAAUCUCUGAAAUAUUUGGGAACACGAUCACUCAAGGAGAGAACUACAUGGAGUAGAUUGCAUUUUACAUUUUAUAAGAUAAUGCUUUACAAAGCUGCAGUCUUUUGCACUUAAAGCUACUGCUAAUUGAGCAAUAGAAUACACCUGCGCUAAGGCUUGUUAAAAGGAAACAGAUCCCAAAUGGAGUGAUUUAUGUUAAACUCCACCGAGACUUAAUAUCUAACUUAACUUCAGUUUCUGCCUCUCCAGGGAGUGGAGUUAAAGCAGUCAGUCUGGAAUUUUUUGUUCAGCCAGUGAAGUCAUCUUCGUGAAGAGAUCUCCUGCUUCUCCCCCUAGGGAAGGUGACCUCGCCUGAAACCAUCCUUUCUUUUCUUUUGCUAAUAACUUCCUUGCCCCACCCUCUUUUCUGCAGAACUACUGUAUACAACUCCUCAGACUUUUCUAGGUGGGACGUUGCUUAAUUCAGGAAUCAUUGAAUAAAGCCAAUGUGAUCUUCAAAUGUA